ACGGAAGGCAGCAGUGAGGAAUAUUGGUCAAUGGACGGAAGUCUGAACCAGCCAUGCCGCGCGCAGGAAUAAGGCCCUAUGGGUCGUAAACUGCUUUUGUAGUGGAGCAAUAAGGUGUACGCGUACAUCGAUGAGAGUACAUUACGAAUAAGCAUCGGCUAACUCCGUGCCAGCAGCCGCGGUAAUACGGAGGAUGCAAGCGUUAUCCGGAUUUAUUGGGUUUAAAGGGUGCGUAGGCUGUUUGUCAUGUCAGGGGUGAAAUCCCGGGGCUCGACUCCGGAAUUGCCUUUGAUACUGGCAGGCUGGAAUACUGUUGCCGUGGGAGGAAUGAGUAGUGUAGCGGUGAAAUGCAUAGAUAUUACUCAGAACACCGAUUGCGAAGGCAUCUCACGAAACAGCGAUUGACGCUGAGGCACGAAAGCGUGGGGAUCAAACAGGAUUAGAUACCCUGGUA
rnacentral:rRNA from 1 species